UCAUAUGGAGACAUUUUCUUGAUGCUAGU
rnacentral:piRNA from 1 species